rnacentral:rRNA from 1 species
AUUGAACGCUGGCGGCAGGCCUAACACAUGCAAGUCGAGCGGAGCGGCGGACGGGUGAGUAAUGCCUAGGAAUCUGCCUGGUAGUGGGGGAUAACGUCCGGAAACGGGCGCUAAUACCGCAUCCUCUCAGAUGAGCCUAGGUCGGAUUAGCUAGGUGGGGGGGUAAAGGCCUACCAAUGCGACGAACCGUAACUGGGCUGAGAGGAGGAUCAGUCACACUGGAAAUGAGACACGGUCAAGACUCCUGCGGGAGGCAGCAGUGGGGAAUAUGGGACAAUGGGCGAAAGCCUGAUCCAGCCAUGCCGAGUGUGUGAAGAAGGGCUUCGGAUUGUAAAGCACUUUAAGUUGGGAGGCGUUACCAACAGAAUAAGCACCGGCUAACUUCGUGCCAGCAGCCGCGGUAAUAC